CAGUAGCCGCGGGAACACGGAGGGAGCUAGCGUUGUUCGGAAUUACUGGGCGUAAAGCGCGCGUAGGCGGUUACUCAAGUCAGAGGUGAAAGCCCGGGGCUCAACCCCGGAACUGCCUUUGAAACUAGGUGACUAGAAUCUUGGAGAGGUCAGUGGAAUUCCGAGUGUAGAGGUGAAAUUCGUAGAUAUUCGGAAGAACACCAGUGGCGAAGGCGACUGACUGGACAAGUAUUGACGCUGAGGUGCGAAAGCGUGGGGAGCAAACAGGAUUAGAUACCCCCGUAGUCCCUGUCUCUUAUAC
rnacentral:rRNA from 1 species